UGGGGCUGAGCACCUGCGUCGUCGGCGCCAGCCGCAGGCCCCGCGGGCCCGCGUGGCGAGCGUCCCACCCAAGCCCAGAGCCGCGGAGAAACUAAGGAAACUGCCUGAGACUCCGCAAAUGUACCUCGAAUGAAUGAAUUCACCACGCAGGCUGGUCCUUGGAAACAGUGUCAUUCUACACAGCGCUCUCCGUCACCAAAGCCAGAGCCUCGUAAAUGGACAAAUGAAACCCCGAUCCCUCUGCUGAGCCGGAGAUCUCUUGCAAAGAUCUCAUCCCGUUUGCGGGCAUGAGACCCUUUUCCACCACAUCGGUUGUAAGGAAGGGAAGAGGGAAGAAGAGGUUUGGGCCAUUCUUCACGUCAGGCUCCCUGAUUCACGUAACUUGUCUCUGUUCCACAACCUGAGCCUGUGCCCCUGCACUGCUUCUGUUCCGGCUCCUUCUAUGGUCCUGCUCCUCUGCGGUCCGUCCAGACCUCACUCCCAGGGAGAAGGAGAGUGUCCAGACACCGCCAGACCCACGUCAGGGGAGGACAAAGUUGAUGUCGGUGUAACCCACCCCCGACCCAGGAAGCCUCGUGUGAGCAUGCCCCGCAGGCUGAAGAAAGGUGGGCAGAGGCCUCCUGUGGGCCCAAGCACCAAGCAGGCACUCACUUCAGCCCCGGAAGGAUCUCCGAGUUCUCUCCUGGUUCCUGGUUCCCAAACUGGUUGCAGGGAAAGCCCAGCACGACCAGGCCCCAGGGCUUCAGCUCGUCCUGAAGUGCGUUCAGUUCUGUGGGAAGAGAAGAGACUGCCUGGUGGCCUGGCCGGAGACUCUGCCUCGUGUAGAGAAAGAUCUAUGGAGCCACC